GACGAACGCUGGCGGUGUGCCUAACACAUGCAAGUCGAGCGGAGUCAGUAAGAGGAAGUUUUCGGAUGGAAUCUUAUUGAUUUAGCGGCGGACGGGUGAGUAACGCGUGAGCGACCAACCUUGCACAGGGGGAUAACGGACCGAAAGGUUCACUAAUACCGCAUGAGACCACGGUGUUGCAUGACACAGUGGUCAAAGGAGCAAUCAGGUGCAAGACGGGCUCGCGUCCGAUUAGGUAGUUGGAGGGGUAACGGCCCACCAAGCCUAUGAUCGGUAGCCGACCUGAGAGGGUGAUCGGCCACAUUGGAACUGAGAUACGGUCCAAACUCCUACGGGAGGCAGCAGUGGGGAAUAUCGGGCAAUGGGGGAAACCCUGACCCAGCAACGCCGCGUGAAGGAAGAAGGUUUUCGGAUUGUAAACUUCUGUCCUUGGUGAAGAGAAGAAGACGGUAGCCAAGGAGGAAGCCCCGGCUAACUACGUGCCAGCCGCCGCGGUAA
rnacentral:rRNA from 1 species